rnacentral:rRNA from 1 species
AGUGAACGCUGGCGGUAGGCCUAACACAUGCAAGUCGAACGGCAGCACAGUAAGAGCUUGCUCUUACGGGUGGCGAGUGGCGGACGGGUGAGGAAUACAUCGGAAUCUACUUUUUCGUGGGGGAUAACGUAGGGAAACUUACGCUAAUACCGCAUACGACCUACGGGUGAAAGCAGGGGAUCUUCGGACCUUGCGCGAUUGAAUGAGCCGAUGUCGGAUUAGCUAGUUGGCGGGGUAAAGGCCCACCAAGGUGACGAUCCGUAGCUGGUCUGAGAGGAUGAUCAGCCACACUGGAACUGAGACACGGUCCAGACUCCUACGGGAGGCAGCAGUGGGGAAUAUUGGACAAUGGGCGCAAGCCUGAUCCAGCCAUACCGCGUGGGUGAAGAAGGCCUUCGGGUUGUAAAGCCCUUUUGUUGGGAAAGAAAAGCAGCAGGUUAAUACCCCGCUGUCCUGACGGUACCCAAAGAAUAAGCACCGGCUAACUUCGUG